rnacentral:lncRNA from 1 species
GUUACAUGAAACAUGAAAAUGAAUACUAAAUAAUAUAAAUUAAUUGAAGUUAUUCUGAAAAUUUCGGUAAUGCCUCGUAUCCUAUCCCGGUCUCAGGUACGGGUAUGGGGUAUUACAUUUAAUGGUAUCAGAGCUAAGGUUUAGCCGGUUCUCGGAUCGGACGUAGCAUAUGUGAAGUCUAGAAAUACAUGCCAUUAUAUAACUUGUGAUAAAAUAAUGUAAUAUCUUCCAACUCUACUGAGAUUUAUUUUACUUAAAGAUAGAGAUACUUUCCCAACCGAGCUAAUUACGAUAAUGAUAAAAGCGAUACUCAAAUAUAUGAGCAAAAGUAGAUUAUGAUGAGUCGGAACUCAUAAAGGUAUGAAUAAAUGUUAUAUUUAAAUUUAUGUGUAUAGUAAGUAAAAUUUUAAGGUAAGUAUUAAUAUUGAAUUGAAUUUGUAUGGAUAUAUGUGAUUGAUGUGGAAAUAGAAUUUUGGAUAUAUGUUAUAUUUGAAAAUUUUAUUGAUUGGGAAUGUGAUGAAAUUGAUAUGAAUAUGUGAUUAAUUGAAAUGUGUAUUGAUUGGAAACUGGAAAGUGAAUUGAAUACCCUAUUAACUGUACUGGACUGAGUCGGAUAUAGUUGGCAUGCCAUAGGAUUUUGAGAAGGGAUUUGGAGAUGAGAUUUGGAUAUGCUGAUGUUUAUAUCCUUCGGAUUUAUCCGAAGAGGCACUUUGUGCUAUUCUGGUGUGUUUUGGAUGGAUUAUAUUAUUCUGGUGUGUUUGGGAGGAUUAUAUGAUAUUGAUGUGUUUUGGAGGAUUAUACUGGUGUGUUUUGGUUGGACAUUUUGGUGUGUUUGGAUGGAAUCCGUGUAUCCGCCAAAGUCCGAGUCUUGUUAAUAGGGGUAAAUAUGAAUAUUAAGUGAAAUUGAAAUGAGAAUUGAAUUCCCUAUUAACUUGUCGGACUAGUCGGAUAUAAUUGGCAUGCCAUAGGAACUGGAAGUGUACGGGAUUUGUCGACUAUACUGAUCAGGCACUUUAUAUGUCGUAUUUCAGGCACCUUGUGUGUCGUAUCAGGCACCUCAUGUGUCGUUUCAGGCACUUAUGUGUCAUAUACUGAUCAGGUACUACGUACCGUUUUAGGCACAAUGUGCCGUACUGGUGUGUUUGGUUGGAUCCGUGUAUCCGUCUGAGUCCGAGUUAUGUUAAUAGGGUUGAGUAAAUGAAAUGAGAAAAUCGAAUGAAUUUGAUCGAAUAAAUUAUUGAAAGUGUGAAAAAGUGGAAUUAUGAAAAGAAAUGUGAAUUGUGAAUUGAAAUAGAGAUAUGAGAUUGAAAGCUUGAACCAAAGGUUCAUGAAUUGAUUAAAGAUAAUAUAGAUGAUAUAUGAUGCCAUUUGAUGAAAGACUAUUGCCGAGAUAUGAAAUUAAAGCAUAAUUAACACAUAUGACUUAUAUUGUUACAUGUUUGAUGUCUAUUAUUUAUUAUAGUAUUUAUAAUUUGAAUUAUGGUAAUACCACUGAGUACAAACAUGCUCAACAUACGAUUAUAUUAUUAUAAUUCAAAUUAUUUAUUAUUAUUAAGUGUUAAAUCCCUAUUACUCCAUAUGGGAUUCAAUUCUAUUAUGUUUGGAAAAAGAAGUCGACGGUGAAACUUACAUGAGACUAUUCUUCUGUCUCUUCCGGUUUUUUCUGAGAAAUCAUUUGGAUAUUUAUUAUUAUUUUCGUAUGAGUUAUGUUCUCGGAUUUCUGGUAUGGUAUCGUAUUUUGGAGUUCUUUAUCUCGGUUUUCCUACCACUCUUAUUUCGUAAAUUAUCGAUCAUGAUUUAUCCUUAAAGUAUGUUCUUUGGUUUAUGAUGACUAUGUCUAUUAUGAUAAGACUAUCCGUGUCUGUUUGGCAUGUCUACGAUGUUAUGUGCCCAACAUGUUUAAUUAAGUAAAUUUUAUUCAAAACUGAAUAAGUGUGUGUUUAUGUACACUUGGUUGAAUAAGUAUGAUUAGUAAGUUCAUAUGGCUAAAUUUAAUGUUGUGAUAUGAAAAUUUCAUGAAUGAUAUAGUAUAUUAUUGCAUAUGAAUGUCAUUAAACUGUGAUAGUUGUAAAAUGAUAUUUGAAUAAAAGUACAAAUUAAGUGGAACAACGGAUUUGAGUACUUUCGUUCAGUGGCUAAGACGAAUUGAUAGAAAAGACCACGGUUGGACCAUGGCAUCAAUGUGAUAUGUGAUCUGUGUAAGACCAUAGCUGGGCUAUGGCAUCAGAGAUAUGUGAUUACAUGCUUCCGUAUAAGACCAUAUCUGGGAUAUGGCAUCAGUGUGAUAUGUGAUUCGUGUAAGACCAUGGCUGGGCUAUGGCUACGGUGUGUGAUAUGUGACUAUGUGCAAGACCAUAGUUUUACUAUGGCAUGAUGAAAACAAAGUACUCAAUUCCGAAAUGGUUCCUUAAAUUGAUUAAGAAAGGUAAGUGAUAAAUGGACUUAAAAGAUUGAAAUUGAUUAAAUGUUGAUAUUGAGCUAAACUAAGUGAAUUCAUUGUUUGAAAUUGUAGAUGGCAGAAAAUAUUGAUAGACUGUAUAAGUGUAUAAAUUUUCUUGAAGUGAAUUAUGUGAAAACGAUGAUGUUAUGUAUGAAUGUCAAGUCAUAUGUGUGUAGUUAUGAGAGUUAAGUUAGAGGCUUUACGACCUCACCCCCUUACCAGAGUUGUAAUUAUGAGGGAAUAAGUGAGAUUUUAAUGAUAUGCUCUGACACUGUAUGCUACAGUCUAAAGGUUAUUGGGAAGAGAUGUUUGAGAUUAAUUCGGUUGUGAUUCUAAGAAAUUUUGUGGAAGUUUUUCAUUAGAGUUGAAAGUAACUUUUUCUGGUAAGAUUUUCGGGGACGAAAAUCCCUAAAGGGGGGGGAGAGUUGUAACAGCCAAAUUUUUCAAUAGUGUCGGAAACAGUGAUUCGAGAUCACUAAAUCCAACGAGUAAGUUUAGAAAUUUUAACAAAUAAUAAUUAUAGGCCAAGCGCGAACUUAAAAGAAUUAUUUUUAAUUAGUGAAUUUUGCGAUUUUAAAAGAAUUAAUCAAGUAAAUUUGGUUAAAAACGAGGUAUUGAGACCUCGGAUUUAUAAACCGAACCAUAAAUAUUUUUAUAAAUAUUUAUGGAGUGUUAUUAAGUUAGUAUUAAAGUUUCGUUAGAAAAUUUUAAUGUUUGAUUAGUCAAUUAAUUAAAAAUGACUAAAUUGAAAAUAGUACGAAAUUUAUUAAAUUGUGAUUAAAUAGUUUAAGUGAUUAAAAAGGAGGGAUUUAAAAGGCAAUUGGACCCAAAUUGUAUGGGCUGGACGGUUGGGCAAGAAAAUCAGCAAAAAAGACAAGGAGAAACAAGGGCAAAAUGGGAAAUUUUGUAAAUUAAACAUAUAAAACAAGACAAAUUUGAAAAAUCUAGAGAUAUCAUCAUUUUUCUUCAGCAAAAACGCCAUGGGAGGUCUGAAAGCUGCUAGUUUUUCAUACUUUGACAUAUGUGAGUUCAAUUCUUACCCUCUUCUUUGAGAUUUUUAUGUUUUUGUGACUUUUACAAUUAGGUCCAAGUGUUUAAUUCAUUAGCUUUUGAUUUUAUGAACAAAAUUAAAAGCUAUCAUUGAUAAGUUUUAGCUGUCUAUGAUGAAAUAAAAUGAAUUUGAAGCUUUGAUUUUGUUGUUUGAUGAUUUUAUCAAGUAAUUUCAAUAGAAAUUGAUUUUAGGACCUAAUUGUGAAAAAGUUGUGAAUUAAGGUUUAGUGUUAAAAUUCUGAUUUUUAAAGAUUGUGUAAUAGUUUAAAAUGAUGGAAUAAAAUGUUAAUUGAGAAAAAUUAGCUUAAUAGAUGGGCUAAUUGAGCAAGGACUGAAUUGUAUGACCUUUGAAAUUUAGAGGAAAAAUGGUAAUAAACAUCUUGAACUAAAACAAUAUUGGACAGUAGAAGUAGACUAACUUUGAAAAAUCACCAUAAAUUGUAGAAAUCGAAUUAGAAGAUGAAUAAAAUAUGAAAUUAAAGCUUAUCGAGUCUAGUUUUUCAUAGAAGAAACGGUGUAAGCAAUGGAUUUGUAAAUUAUGAGAUAUAAUGAAUUUUGUGAGAUAAUGUUAGAAUGAAUUCGGGUUUCCCUUUUUUGACUUUGGAAAAUCACCAAAAAUUGGAGAAAAUUAAUUAGAGUCUCAAAUUUAUAUGCUUAGAAUUCUUAAUGAGUCUAUUUUCAAUAGAAAUCAAUGGGAACAUUAUCCAAGUUUUGUACUGUGAUAUAAUUAAUUUUUAGUGAAGAGAGGUCAGAACUGUUGGAUAGUGAAAUAGGGGAAACUUAAAUGAAUAAACUGUACUAAUUGGCUAAACCAAAAAUUCUUAAAGUUUUAUGGUGGAAUGAUAUGUGAGUCUAGUUUUAGGGAAAAUUUACGGAUCUUAAUUUUGAGCUCUGUAGCUCGAAUUAUAAAUAAUUGAGUGACUAUGACUCGUGUGAACAGAUUGAUGUGAGCAUUAAUAAGUAAAUUGUGAAAUCAUACUUAAAAGAAUGUUAUAUACAUUAAGGAUGUGGAAUGGAGAGGAGGAGGAGGAAAAAUAUAUAUGAAUAUUCAGUUAGCAUAGCUAAUUUGCAUGUUUUAAGCUCAUGGACUAAAUUGAAUAAAAGUAAAACUUUAAGGGACAAUUUUGUAAAAAUGUCAAAAAUGACUAAAUUGAAGGGAAUAAAUUGUUUUAUUAUCUAAAUUAAUAAAUUGAAUGAAAUUAUCAAUUUAAGAUUGGGUGAAAUUUGGGAAAAUGGUAAAUUACCAAUAUGCCCCUAAAUCUUGGUAUUUCUGCAAUUUAGUCAGGUAGGUUCGGAUACCCUGAAUGAGCAUGUAAAUAUGAAAAUUUAAGUAUUGUAUCGUAUUUUAUAUGAUAUUUUGAAUUGAAUAUAUGAGAAGGAUGUUACAUGAAACAUGAAAAUGAAUACUAAAUAAUAUAAAUUAAUUGAAAUUAUUUUGAAAAUUUCGGUAAUGCCUCGUAUCCUAUCCCGGUCUCAGGUACGGGUAUGGGGUAUUACAAAUCACUUUCUUCAUGUCUUUACAUGAUUGAGGGAUUUUUGCAAAUGGGAACAUUUCUCUCAAGAGCUUUAACAGCAUUGUCAAAGAGUUUCCGGUCCACCCUCCCAAACAUUUUAAUUGGAAAAGGCGAAUACAGAAUGACAUUUUCGAAAAUUUUGAUCCCUCAUAAAGUUCUUCAUUCAUUUCACCAAGUAACAUGUAGAACUUCACCGCUUCUUCAUUCGGUUGUUCAUCCGGUACACUUCUUCUCGUUUCCAUAAAAGUAUUCCCACCGAUAUUAUAAUCAUCGGAUGCAACAUAGUUUGGUGGAAAUGAUUGGAAACCUUUACUCCGCAUAUUAAAUGCAUCUCGCAUCAUACCUUCCAUGUCAUCUUCUCUAACAUACUGACGGUAACCACUAUAAGGAUAACCUGGAUUAAUCGUCGAAGAGGCUCCACUAGGUGUACACUCUCCAUGGAAAAUCCAUUUUUUAUACCCUCGAAUGAAGCCAUCAACAAUUAGAUGUUCGUAGAAACUUCACGAUAAUGCCAAUAGAUAUUGCCACACUUCUUACACGGGCAAAGAAUCAUAUUCUCUUGGCUUGAAUUGUGAAAUGCAAAAUCUAAAAAAGAUUGCACUCCAUUUUGAUACUCGUUGCUUGCCCUUGAGAAAUUCAUCCAAGUCCUAUCCAUUUCGUAGUUGUUGAAUUCUA